UAACUGGAGGACCGAACCGACUAAUGUUGAAAAAUUAGCGGAUGACUUGUGGCUGGGGGUGAAAGGCCAAUCAAACCGGGAGAUAGCUGGUUCUCCCCGAAAGCUAUUUAGGUAGCGCCUCGUGAAUUCAUCUCCGGGGGUAGAGCACUGUUUCGGCAAGGGGGUCAUCCCGACUUACCAACCCGAUGCAAACUGCGAAUACCGGAGAAUGUUAUCACGGGAGACACACGGCGGGUGCUAACGUCCGUCGUGAAGAGGGAAACAACCCAGACCGCCAGCUAAGGUCCCAAAGUCAUGGUUAAGUGGGAAACGAUGUGGGAAGGCCCAGACAGCCAGGAUGUUGGCUUAGAAGCAGCCAUCAUUUAAAGAAAGCGUAAUAGCUCACUGGUCGAGUCGGCCUGCGCGGAAGAUGUAACGGGGCUAAACCAUGCACCGAAGCUGCGGCAGCGACGCUUAUGCGUUGUUGGGUAGGGGAGCGUUCUGUAAGCCUGUGAAGGUGUGCUGUGAGGCAUGCUGGAGGUAUCAGAAGUGCGAAUGCUGACAUAAGUAACGAUAAAGCGGGUGAAAAGCCCGCUCGCCGGAAGACCAAGGGUUCCUGUCCAACGUUAAUCGGGGCAGGGUGAGUCGACCCCUAAGGCGAGGCCGAAAGGCGUAGUCGAUGGGAAACAGGUUAAUAUUCCUGUACUUGGUGUUACUGCGAAGGGGGGACGGAGAAGGCUAUGUUGGCCGGGCGACGGUUGUCCCGGUUUAAGCGUGUAGGCUGGUUUUCCAGGCAAAUCCGGAAAAUCAAGGCUGAGGCGUGAUGACGAGGCACUACGGUGCUGAAGCAACAAAUGCCCUGCUUCCAGGAAAAGCCUCUAAGCAUCAGGUAACAUCAAAUCGUACCCCAAACCGACACAGGUGGUCAGGUAGAGAAUACCAAGGCGCUUGAGAGAACUCGGGUGAAGGAACUAGGCAAAAUGGUGCCGUAACUUCGGGAGAAGGCACGCUGAUAUGUAGGUGAAGUCCCUCGCGGAUGGAGCUGAAAUCAGUCGAAGAUACCAGCUGGCUGCAACUGUUUAUUAAAAACACAGCACUGUGCAAACACGAAAGUGGACGUAUACGGUGUGACGCCUGCCCGGUGCCGGAAGGUUAAUUGAUGGGGUCAGCGCAAGCGAAGCUCUUGAUCGAAGCCCCGGUAAACGGCGGCCGUAACUAUAACGGUCCUAAGGUAGCGAAAUUCCUUGUCGGGUAAGUUCCGACCUGCACGAAUGGCGUAAUGAUGGCCAGGCUGUCUCCACCCGAGACUCAGUGAAAUUGAACUCGCUGUGAAGAUGCAGUGUACCCGCGGCAAGACGGAAAGACCCCGUGAACCUUUACUAUAGCUUGACACUGAACAUUGAGCCUUGAUGUGUAGGAUAGGUGGGAGGCUUAGAAGUGUGGACGCCAGUCUGCAUGGAGCCGACCUUGAAAUACCACCCUUUAAUGUUUGAUGUUCUAACGUUGACCCGUAAUCCGGGUUGCGGACAGUGUCUGGUGGGUAGUUUGACUGGGGCGGUCUCCUCCUAAAGAGUAACGGAGGAGCACGAAGGUUGGCUAAUCCUGGUCGGACAUCAGGAGGUUAGUGCAAUGGCAUAAGCCAGCUUGACUGCGAGCGUGACGGCGCGAGCAGGUGCGAAAGCAGGUCAUAGUGAUCCGGUGGUUCUGAAUGGAAGGGCCAUCGCUCAACGGAUAAAAGGUACUCCGGGGAUAACAGGCUGAUACCGCCCAAGAGUUCAUAUCGACGGCGGUGUUUGGCACCUCGAUGUCGGCUCAUCACAUCCUGGGGCUGAAGUAGGUCCCAAGGGUAUGGCUGUUCGCCAUUUAAAGUGGUACGCGAGCUGGGUUUAGAACGUCGUGAGACAGUUCGGUCCCUAUCUGCCGUGGGCGCUGGAGAACUGAGGGGGGCUGCUCCUAGUACGAGAGGACCGGAGUGGACGCAUCACUGGUGUUCGGGUUGUCAUGCCAAUGGCACUGCCCGGUAGCUAAAUGCGGAAGAGAUAAGUGCUGAAAGCAUCUAAGCACGAAACUUGCC
rnacentral:rRNA from 1 species